ACUUCUGAAAUAUUGAUUAACUAAGCAAAGUCAAGUUACAAGAAAAUUGUACUUUCUAAUUACACAGGAAUAGUUGUUAUAAACACAAUACUGUACACAAACGGUGUAACCCACAACUGUAUACAAAGAAGAUAGUGCGUGGCUAGUCCAAUGAAAACAAUGCUUACUGGCGCACUAGAGAAGGUAUUAAGUUGUUAUCGAUGCAUAUAUCAUUUCGCAAAAAUCGAUUAUAACAUUAUCGAUGUAUGCAUAAUAUGCCGCUUUCUUUUAAACUGCGACAAGCACUUUCUUCUAAUCAAUUUUAAUUUGACACAAAUUUGAAAAACAACAAAACUAACCUAGUUAAAACUUCUCUUUUUGAAAACUCUCUUUUUCUGGAGUUGUAACGCCCUGCGCAGUUGAUCUUCUGCUGAGUCGGCUCCACCGGUUGCUUUAAUGGCUUCUGGAAAUGUAUUUAAAUAAAAUGUAAUCUCAAAAUGCAA